rnacentral:rRNA from 1 species
GAUGAACGCUGGCGGCGUGCCUAAUACAUGCAAGUCGAGCGAACAGACGAGGAGCUUGCUCCUCUGACGUUGGCGGCGGACGGGUGAGUAACACGUGGAUAACCUACCUAUAAGACUGGGAUAACUUCGGGAAACCGGAGCUAAUACCGGAUAAUAUAUUGAACCGCAUGGUUCAAUAGUGAAAGACGGUUUUGCUGUCACUUAUAGAUGGAUCCGCGCCGCAUUUGCUAGUUGGUAAGGUAACGGCUUACCAAGGCAACGAGGCGUAGCCGACCUGAGAGGGUGAUCGGCCACACUGGAACUGAGACACGGUCCAGACUCCUACGGGAGGCAGCAGUAGGGAAUCUUCCGCAAUGGGCGAAAGCCUGACGGAGCAACGCCGCGUGAGUGAUGAAGGUCUUCGGAUCGUAAAACUCUGUUAUUAGGGAAGAACAAAUGUGUAAGUAACUAUGCACGUCUUGACGGUACCUAAUCAGAAAGCCACGGCUAACUACGUG